rnacentral:rRNA from 1 species
AUUGAACGCUGGCGGUAUGCUUAACACAUGCAAGUCGAACGGUAGCACGGUCUAGCUUGCUAGAUGGGUGACGAGUGGCGAACGGGUGAGUAACGCGUAGGAAUAUGCCUUGAAGAGGGGGACAACUUGGGGAAACUCAAGCUAAUACCGCGUAAUAUCUUCGGAUGAAAGUUGGGGACCUUCGGGCCUGACGCUUUAAGAUUAGCCUGCGUACGAUUAGCUAGUUGGUAGGGUAAAGGCCUACCAAGGCGACGAUCGUUAGCUGGUCUGAGAGGAUGACCAGCCACACUGGACAUGAGACACGGUCCAGGCUCCUACGGGGGGCAGCAGUUGGGAAUAUUGGACAAUGGGGGCAACCCUGAUCCAGCAAUACCGCGUGUGUGAGGAAGGCCUGAGGGUUGUAAAGCACUUUCAGUGGGGAGGAGGAUUGAUUGGUUAAGAGCUGAUUGAUUGGACGUUACCCACAGAAGAAGCACCGGCUAACUCCGUGCCAGCCGCCGCAGUAAUAC